rnacentral:rRNA from 1 species
UACGUAGGGGGCAAGCGUUAUCCGGAUUUACUGGGUGUAAAGGGAGCGUAGACGGCGAGGCAAGUCUGAUGUGAAAGCCCGGGGCUCAACCCCGGAACUGCAUUGGAAACUGUUUUGCUAGAGUGCAGGAGAGGUAAGCGGAAUUCCUAGUGUAGCGGUGAAAUGCGUAGAUAUUAGGAGGAACACCAGAGGCGAAGGCGGCUUACUGGACUGUAACUGACGUUGAGGCUCGAAAGCGUGGGGAGCAAAC